ACCAUUUUCCAACUUGUCCGUCCAUCUGCCAAUGAUGGCAAACUGACUCAGCUCCAGGGCCUCUUGGCCGAUGGCCCGUUGGAAGCCCAAGGAACCUUUCGAGAAGCCAAACAGGCCCUUUGGGGCGGAUCCGGGUCUCACAUCCGUAUAAAGGCAGGAGCUGUGGCAACUAGGAGGGACAGAAAUCAAUUUAUCCAGCUAAUUAAUGAAGAAGAAGAA